GAACAUAAGUCUUCCGAGAAGUUGAGAUGAGAUCGAGGGUUUAAAGAAAAACAAACAGUGUCCGUCACUAAGCCCUGGCUUUCUCUUUCUAACCUGAGUUCACUGGUUUCUCUCCUUCUCCUCUUACCACCCUCCAACUCUCAUCUUCUCUUCAUCCAACACCAUCAAUGCUCUAUGUAAAUUAAGGCUCUUUCCAUAUCAGAGGUCAGUAAACCCUAAUCUUUUUUCAUGAUUUGCUUGGAGACGCUGCUACUUUUCAUUUGAUCACCAAAAUUACACUUGAAAAAAAUCUGUGGGUAAUCCAAUUUCAUUGAAAUUAAGGUGUGUUUGGUUUGUAUCAAUGAAAGAGUUGAAUUCAACAAUGGAUCCAAUUGGGCAAAACCUAAUAAAGCUGAUUACGAAUGUGUGUUUCUCAGUCUUUGUAUUCUCGGUGCUCAUAUUUACAGUAAUUGCCAUCACAUACCAACCUCCCGAUCCAUGGGAAUCUUCUAGAGCCCUCACUAGAGUUUUUACCCAAUUCGAAAACGCCACCUUCCAAACCGACACUACUCUCCUUAAAACUGGUGAAGACCUUGCUACUUCCGCCGCCCCACCUGCCAACGUCAACCCUAACGCUGUUACCGAAUCGAUCAUUGAGAAAUCCGAGGCCCAAUUGACUAAUCUGACGUUGAAAUCAGGUUGUGAGGAUAUCUCUGCAGUGAAUUGUUCCGAUCCUCAGGUUUUGAUUGCCAUUGAAAGGUUUAAUUUGAAGGCUUUGAAGUCAAUUGUGUUUCUGGAGUAUCAAACACCGGUCAGUGGGUUGAGACUUGAUGAGUGCGAUGUGGCGUGGAGAUUUAGGAACAAAAAGGAAAAGUCUUGGAGGAAGUACAGGGAUUUUCGGAGGUUUAGGAUUGGGUAUCGUGAAAAUUGUACUUAUAAGGUGCUUAAUGCGAAGGGUUGGCACUCGGGUACAAAUGCCCGCAGGCCAAGGACUACAGUUAAUAAUGCAAAUAGGAGUGGUGAGAAUGCUAAAGUCGCUCCUCCAUUUCAUGACGAUGAGAUCAAUGACACAAUCCCUGUGUUGGGUUCAGAUAUGGCCUUUAGGCAGGGGAAGUAUUUGUACUAUUCACGCGGAGGGGAUUAUUGUAAAGGCAUGAAUCAUUACCUUUGGAGCUUCUUGUGUGCCCUUGGGGAGGCUCAGUAUUUGAAUAGAACAUUUGUGGUGGAUUUGAGUAUUUGCUUGUCGGCAGCAUAUACUGCUGGUAAUAAGGAUGAGGAAGGAAAGGAUUUUAGGUUUUAUUUUGAUUUUGAGCAUUUGAAAGAGGUGGGCUCAAUUGUGGAGGAGGGUGAAUUCCAUAGAGAUUGGAAAAAUUGGGAUAAGACGCACAAAAAGAAAAUUCCUGUCAAAAAGGUUGCUAGCUAUAAGGUCACACCAAUGCAGCUUAGGAAAGAUAAAAGCACGAUUAUUUGGAGGCAAUUUGAUGCUCCCGAGCCAGAAAACUAUUGGUACAGAGUUUGUGAAGGCCAAGCUGCAAAGUACGUUCAGAGACCAUGGCACGCACUGUGGAAAUCAAAGAGACUGAUGAAUAUAGUUUCUGACAUUAGUGGUCAUAUGGACUGGGAUUUUGAUGCAGUUCAUGUAGUUAGAGGAGAUAAAGCACAGAAUAAGGAGCUGUGGCCCCAUUUAGAUGAUGAUACAUCCCCGGAUGCCCUCGUUACAAAGCUUCAAGGGAUGAUUCAACCUCAUAGGAAUUUGUAUGUUGCCACCAAUGAACCAUUCUAUAAUUACUUUGAUAAAUUGAGGUCUCAUUACAACGUUCAUUUGCUUGAUGAUUACAAGGAAUUGUGGGGAAAUACAAGUGAGUGGUACAAUGAGAUGAGGCUUUUGAAUGGUGGUCGCCCUGUUGAUUUUGAUGGAUAUAUGAGAGUUGAAGUAGACACUGAGGUUCUUUACAGGGCAAAGACACAGGUGGAGACAUUCUAUAACUUGACCGAUGAUUGCAAAGAUGGGAUUAGUACGUGCUGACCAGGCAUUAUUUUCCGGAAGUUUACACUGGAUUUCCAUGAACCAAGUCUUGUCUCCCAUUUUGUCAAAUUCCUCUGUGCUUGUCAUCAGGGCAGCUUUUUGUUGGUCCAACAAAACUUUUGACCUGGUUGAUGGAUCUACAUGAUAAUAUGUACUCAUUGAGAUAAAAUGAGAUGGAAAAAUCAUCAACAAGGAAGUGCUGCUUCUGUCCCUUCACUAGGAGACUAUCAACAUUUGCCUUCUCUUCAUAUAAGAUGCAACACCUCUGUUCUGUUUGUAUAUUUCUCCCCCAGAUCCUAUGAAGUGACUUGUGUCUGGCAUCCAUUCACAGUUAGGUUCAAUGUUAUCUUCUAAUUCAGAUGUCAUACUUCUUUUUUUUAUUAUUGAUAUGUCAGAAGUCAUAUUAGCAGCCAACAAAAUCAGUUUCUACCUUCUUAAAUGGGUAGGGUAUUCUUAUUUUGCACACUCUUGGUCUCUGAACUUUGUAAGGAAUGUAUGAAAAACCCUUGCACUGGAAUAAAAGGAUUGAAACUGCAAUCAACUCUCAUAAAGUUGUGGUUUUAGGCCGGCAAAGGGCUGGUUCUGCUA